GCCAGGCAUGGUGGCGCAUGCCUGUGGUCCCAGCUACUUAGGAGACUGAGGUAGGAGGAUCACUUGAGCCUGGGAAGUUGAGGCUGCAGUGAGCUAUGAUCUUGCCACUGCACUUCAGCCCAGGCGACAGAGAGAGACCCUGUCUCAA
rnacentral:SRP_RNA from 1 species